rnacentral:rRNA from 1 species
CGGACGGGUGAGUAACGCGUGGGUAACCUGCCCUGUACAGGGGGAUAACAGUCAGAAAUGACUGCUAAUACCGCAUAAGACCACAGCACCGCAUGGUGCAGGGGUAAAAACUACCGGUGGUACAGGAUGGACCCGCGUCUGAUUAGCUGGUUGGUGAGGUAACGGCUCACCAAGGCGACGAUCAGUAGCCGGCUUGAGAGAGUGAACGGCCACAUUGAGACUGAGACACGGCCCAAACUCCUACGGGAGGCAGCAUG